rnacentral:rRNA from 1 species
UACGUAGGCAGCAAGCGUUGUUCGGAGUUACUGGGCGUAAAGGGUGCGUAGGCGGUCCUAUAAGUAUGGUGUGAAAUCUCCCCGGCUUAACUGGGAGGGUGCGCUAUAGACUGUGGGACUAGAGUGUGGGAGAGGAAAGUGGAAUUCCUGGUGUAGCGGUGAAAUGCGUAGAUAUCGGUAGGAACACCAGUGGCGAAGGCGGUCUCCUGGAGCAUACUUGACGCUGAGGCGCGAAAGCUGGGGGAGCGAACGGG